rnacentral:snRNA from 1 species
CUACUUACCUUGCACAGGAGAUACCGUGUCACGAGGCGGUUCUCCCAGGGCGAGGCUCACCAUUGCACUCCGGUGGUGCUGACCCCUGCGAUUAAACCCCAAAAUGUGGUACUCGAGUGCGCAAUUUUUGUUAUGGGGACUGCGUUCGCGCUAUCCCCCU